GCCGGUGUGAUGGAAUUGGCAGACGUGACGGACUCAAAAUCCGUUGGUGGCAACACCGUGCGGGUUCAAGUCCCGCCACCGGCACCA
rnacentral:tRNA from 1 species